GCAGAGCGGUCCCAGCCCCUGCGCCCAGAACGGAGCCCACGUUUCCGCAGAGCUGGAAUUCCCGGCUCGGAGUCUCUUCCCUCCGCCGUCACGGAACUGCCCCGGAUCGGCGGCCGAAGCCGCGACAGACGUGGGGACGGCGGGCCGGUACGCUGGCCUCUCACCGUUGUGGCCUCUCCCGUUGCGGAGCACAGGCUCCAGACGCGCAGGCUCAGCGGCCAUGGCUCACGGUCUUAGUUGCUCCGCGGCAUGUGGGAUCUUCCCGGACCGGGGCAAGAACCCGUGUCCCCUGCAUCGGCAGGUGGACUCUCAACCCCUGCGCCACCAGGGAAGCCCGGGCAUAGAAAAAGGCUCAACAUCAGGAAUUUAUAAAGCCAUGCAAAUCCAGUCUACAAAAACGUUCACCACACAGUCGUCAGAAUGAUCAUCAACAAAAAAGUCUACAAAGAAUAAAUACUGAAGGGGUUUUAGAGGAUGGCGUACCCUCUAGCUGCUGGUGGGAUGUCACCUGGUAACAGCCAGUGGUGAGAACAGAAUGGAGGUGCAUUUCAAGGUAAAAAUUGAGCUACCUUACGAUCUGGGAGGCCCACUGAUGGGCCUAUCUCCUGAGUAGACGAGAAUCAAAAAGACACAGGCUGGCAAUCCUGAAUACCAGCAACAUGUGACAUAGCCAAGAAUUGGAAGAAACCAGAAUGUCCAUCAACAGAGAAAUGCACCAAGAAGUGGUCCAUGUACACAAUGGAAUAUUAGCCAAGGAAAAGAAUGAAACGUUGCCGUUGGCACCACAAUAGAAGGAUCUAGAAAUAGUCAGUCAGACAACUGGAAGUAAGAAAGAACCCAAAAGACAGAUAUCCUAUGACAUCAGUUAUAGGUGUUAUAUAAAAAUUAAUACCCAUGAAAUUAUUUCCAAGAGAA